rnacentral:lncRNA from 1 species
CCUUCCUGCACACUUCUUGAUUUUUCUCAUUUUGCCCCACUUGAGUAACUCAGUAUCUCUCUAAACCCACGCCCUACCCCCACAAAGAAUAAAGAAUCCACUCAGAGAUCCAUUGGUGACACGUGGGGACUUCACUGAAGGUUUGCCAGAAGCAGAGAUGAUCACCGAGGAGCAUCUCCCUUGGACACUCUGCUUCCCAAAGUCCUUU